rnacentral:ribozyme from 1 species
UAGCGGUCCGCAUGUGUAAUCCACAUGUAGGAAGCUAGCCAGGGAAACAUCAACCUUCGGGUUGAGCACAUUAACUGGU